rnacentral:rRNA from 1 species
GGGGAAUUUUCCGCAAUGGGCGCAAGCCUGACGGAGCAACGCCGCGUGAGGGAUGAAGGCCUCUGGGCUGUAAACCUCUUUUCUCAAGGAAGAAGAUCUGACGGUACUUGAGGAAUAAGCCACGGCUAAUUCCGUGCCAGCAGCCGCGGUAAUACGGGAGUGGCAAGCGUUAUCCGGAAUUAUUGGGCGUAAAGCGUCCGCAGGCGGCCUUGAAAGUCUGUUGUUAAAGCGUGGAGUUUAACUCCAUUUCAGCAAUGGAAACUACAAGGCUAGAGUGUGGUAGGGGCAGAGGGAAUUCCCGGUGUAGCGGUGAAAUGCGUAGAUAUCGGGAAGAACACCAGUGGCGAAGGCGCUCUGCUGGGCCAUAACUGACGCUCAUGGACGAAAGCCAGGGGAGCGAAAGGGAUUAGAUACCCCUGUAGUC